UGCCAUGUUCGAAUUUGAUGUUUAAUAAAUUAUAGUCUAUGGACUGACACCGAUCAACAAUGGUUCAGACUUCGUACUUUAUAUGGUUACAUGAGGGUCGAGUUGGAUGGGUCAAUUCGUGCCUACCUUUCAAGCAAACAAGUCCGACCUCGGUCCGAAUCCGCUCCGCCUCGGACGGAGCUGAGUCCGACUUCGGCUCAGAAACGGGUCCGAAGGUGUCUCUAAUUAGUUGUUUUUAUUUGUUCAAUACGUACUUUUUGUUGAUGUUCAUGUUACGCGUUAUAAUUGUAGUUUUAGGUACAAACCAAAGUUUAACUUCCCAUUCUCAAUAGGACAGUAUAAUAACACCCUUAACCUAACAAGCCAUCUAUCGGUUGCUGGUUAUAACAAACCAAUAUGAGUGUUCAGUUUUAGUACGUAUGAACGUGCCCGAUAUUGAAUUUCGAAUUCGAAGAUAGAAAAGGGGAAUAUAGAAAUGCUCACCAAUACCUAGAUGAGGGUAUAUAAGGUUUAUAUUGAGAGAUGUGAAUCGGGUGAUGUUUGUCCAGUUAGAUUUAACAUGCGGUACCAAUUUUUGGAGCUAUUCCGCCAAAUGUCAAAGUGGUUUUCCCUUACAUUUUUUUUUUCUUUAAGAUCGGGCUUUUGACAUCUUGCCGAACUCGGGUCAUUCGAAAGUUAAACAAGAUUCAGAUCGGUUGAGCUAAAGCUGCUAGUUUUUUUGAAUAAAAAUAUUAAACCAAACUAAAUUGAAAUAAAAUUUAUUUGCGUUAAAAAUAGAAUAAAAUUAAGAAAUAGUGAAAAGUUGUAACCGAAAUCUAAAUACUAUUUAACUGUUUUUCUGAAGUUAAUUUGCUUCAAAUUUUUUGUGGGUGAACCAGAGAAAUAUAUAUUUUUCUAAAUUGAUAAAAGUGGUUGAUUUUAGGCGGUCCCAGAUUAACGUACCAGGACUGGGCCGCCGCACCAUUUUUAAAAAUAAAAUAAUAAAUUAUCUUCGGUUUUAUUGGUGAAAACUGUGCCAAUUCGAAGGAUUUGGGAGUGGGACUGAAGUGUCCAAACUAAUUCCCCCCUGCAUUCUGGAUCCGUCCAAGGGAGCACCCCGGCUGGCUGAAACGCUGGUCCGCCAAAAGGCACCUAAAACGAAACAACAAAAAGAAAAAUUACUUAUAUACCAAAAACGAGGUCGCAGUGAGUUGUUAAAACAAAAAAAAAAAAA